ACGCGGCCCGUGUCUGGAUCGGGGGGUUCGAGCUGUUCCGGAGUGGUCGUUUCACAUGGACUGAUGGCACAAAUUGGGACUACUCUCGCUGGAUUGCUGGGUUUCCUGUAAGAUACAUACGGGCCUGUGUGGAGCUGAACUGGAACAUCCGAGGCACCUGGAGUGACCACAGCUGUUACCUGAGGAAGCCCUUUGUGUGCAAGCACAGUUUCUAAAGGAAAACCUCUCCGCUCUGCCUCUGCGCUGUGCUACAGUCAUCGCUGACCUCGGGCACUGACCACCGACCACUGACCACCGACCACCGACCACCGACCAGAGCAGCCUUGCCUUCUCCAGGUUCACGAAUGGGGGUGGGGGGAGUUUGUCUUCCCCAUUUCUGAAGAAUUAAUAUUGGACAAAGGCCACAGUCUUGGAGAGGGAUUCAUAAGAAAUUUCAGAUUUUUCAGCAGCAGCUUCCUUGAUAACAGUUACAAGUACAAUUUGUGAUACAUUUAAAAGAUAAGCAAAUGCCAGUUUAAAAGUCCCUUUUAGCUCAGGUUAGAACUUUUAACUGCAGUAGCCUUGAUUCACAUUUUUGAAUAACAACUAAAAAAGCAUAAAAAAGCAAACUUCCUUGUCGACAAGGUCAUUUUGGUACAUGAUUAAACUAAGGUCACGCUGCAAUCUAGAAUGUAAUGAAGGAACAUUUCAUUACAGUAAUCCACCCUUCUCUUUUGAGUCUUUGUGUCCUGGUGAGUCUGUGCUACUGUGUCCACUUGGUGUUCUUUGCUUCUGCAAUAUGAAAUAAGCAAUAAACUGCAUUUGAUGAGCAUGGAAAUAUCA